AUUAACUUAUGAAUAGUAUAUUUAGCACGUCUGCUCCCUCAGUCUCAUGAUUCCAGGAUGUUUCUGAUCAGAAAUAGUUGAAUUUCUACUUUUCACUACCAUUUCCUUUUCCUUCUGCUUCUAGUGACUAAAAUUUUGGUAUGUAGGAUAUAUGUGGACCUCCCAGAUGCUGAGAAUCGGAUGAAAAUUCUAAGAAUAUUUCUGGCCUAAGAAAACCUAGAUUUUGUAUUCCGAUUUGACAUACUUGCCAAUGCAACUGAAGGAUAUUCAGGGAGUGAUUUGAAGAACAUUUGUAUCGCAGCGGCAUAUAGGCCAGUGCAAGAACUUCUAGAAGAAGAAAAGCGGCUAUGUACAAAUAAUGCACUGUGAGUAUUGAGGCCUCUGAAUUUGGACGAUUUUAUUCAAGCAAAAGCUAAAGU